UGGUUCUGGCAUNGAUGAAGAACGCAGCGAAAUGCGAUAAGUAAUGUGAAUUGCAGAAUUCAGUGAAUCAUCGAAUCUUUGAACGCACAUUGCGCCCCCUGGUAUUCCGGGGGGCAUGCCUGUUCGAGCGUCAUUACAACCCUCAAGCAUUGCUUGGUAUUAGGCUCCGCUGCUCACCCGGCGGGCCUUAAAACCAGUGGCGGUGCCGUCGAGGCCCUGAGCGCAGUAAAUAUCCUCGCUAUAGGGACCCGGCGGACGCUGGCCAUCAACCCCCAACUUUCUAAGGUUGACCUCGGAUCAGGUAGGGAUACCCGCUGA
rnacentral:misc_RNA from 1 species